AGCUUAGUGGUCAGAGCAUUGGUGCGUAAAGUCAAAGAUCCCGGGUUCGAUUCCCGG
rnacentral:tRNA from 1 species